rnacentral:tRNA from 1 species
AAAUCCUCUCCCUAAUA